rnacentral:rRNA from 1 species
CCUACGGGUGGCAGCAGUGAGGAAUAUUGGUCAAUGGGCGCGAGCCUGAACCAGCCAAGUCGCGUGAGGGAUGACGGCCCUACGGGUUGUAAACCUCUUUUGCCGGGGAGCAACGGGCGCCACGUGUGGCGCCACUGCGAGUACCCGGAGAAAAAGCAUCGGCUAACACCGUGCCAGAAGCAGCGGUAAUAGGGAGGAUGCGAGCGUUAUCCGGAUGUAGUGGGUUGAAAGGGUGCGUAGGCGGAUCGUUAAGUCAGUGGUCAAAUUGAGGGGCUCAACCCCUUCCCGCCAUUGAAACUGGCGCUCUUGAGUGGAAGAGAAGUAUGCGGAAUGCGUGGUGUAGCGGUGAAAUGCAUAGAGAUCACGCAGAACCCCGAUUGCGAAGGCAGCAUGCCGGCUUCCGACUGACGCUGAAGCACGAAAGCGUGGGGAUCGAACAGGAUUAGAUACCCUUGUAGUC